GGAUUAGGCAUGCAAGUCGAACGAGAAAGGUUUCUUCGGAAGCCGAGUAAAGUGGCGAAAGGGUGAGUAAUGCAUAGGCAACCUGCCCCCGAGAUGGGGAUAACCUUCCGAAAGGGGGGCUAAUACCCAAUAAGACCACAGGUCGCAUGGCUGGUGGUCAAAGAUAGCUUCGGCCUUCGCUCAGGGAGGGGCCUAUGUCCUAUUAGCUUGUUGGUGAGGUAACGGCUCACCAAGGCAACGAUGGGUAGCCGACCUGAGAGGGUGACCGGCCACACUGGGACUGAGACACUGCCCAGACUCCUACGGGAGGCUGCAGUCGAGAAUCUUCCGCAAUGCGCGCAAGCGUGACGGAGCGACGCCGCGUGGGGGAUGAAGGCCUUCGGGUUGUAAACCCCUGUCACCUGGAAAGAAAGGCAAGCGGUUCAUAGCUGUCUUGCUUGACGUUACCAGGAGAGGAAGCACCGGCUAAAUACGUGCCAGCAGCCGCGGUAAUACGUAUGGUGCGAACGUUGUUCGGAAUCACUGGGCUUAAAGAGCACGUAGGCGGUCGAGAAAGUCUAUUGUGAAAUCCCUCGGCUUAACCGGGGAAUUGCAGUGGAAACUGCUUGGCUAGAGUGCAGGAGGGGAGAGUGGAAUUCCUGGUGGAGCGGUGAAAUGCGUAGAUAUCAGGAGGAACGCCGGAGGCGAAAGCGGCUCUCUGGCCUGCUACUGACGCUGAGGUGCGAAAGCUAGGGGAGCGAACGGGAUUAGAUACCCCGGUAGUCCUAGCCCUAAACGAUGGGCACUAAGUAGAGGGGUUUU
rnacentral:rRNA from 1 species